rnacentral:lncRNA from 1 species
AUGGAGUUUGGUUUGGACAAAUGUUCGACAGUGGCAUUGAAGAAGGGUAAAAUAAUUGAAAGUGAGGGCAUAAAUAUGCCCAAUGGCCAAACAAUAAGGUGUCACCAGCCAGAGGCCUAUAAAUAUCUGGGCAUAUUACAGCUGGACAACAUCAAGCAUGAACAUGUGAAAACUGUGGUCAGUAAAGAAUACACACAAAGGGUCAGAAAAAUUCUCAAAAGCAAGCUCAAUGGAGGCAACACCAUCAAGGCCAUAAACACCUGGGCCAUACCUGUCAUAAGAUAUACUGCUGGCAUUAUAAACUGGACACAGAUGGAACUGGACAAUUUGGACAGAAAAACAAGAAAACUCAUGACCAUUCAUCAUUCACUGCACCCUCGCAGUGAUGUUGACCGGCUGUAUCUGCCUAGAAGAUCAGGGGGCAGAGGACUCUUGCAAGUAAAACAAGCAGUCAAAGAAGAAGAACAUGCCCUGGCAGAAUAUGUAAAACGAAGUGAAGAACCUGCUUUGAUUGAAGUCAAAAAUCAGAAACUCCUCAAAGCACAGCAGACAAAAAACCAGUACAAGAAAACCGCACUACAAACUAGAGCUGACAGCUGGCACAACAAAACACUGCAUGGAAAGUUCCUUGACAAAAUUGAAGGAAAAGCUGAUAAGGAGAAGACCUGGCUCUGGCUCACGAAUGGGACCCUGAAGAAGGAGACAGAAGGCCUGAUCCUUGCAGCCCAGGAGCAAGCCAUCAGAACAAAUGCAAUCAAGGCCAAGAUCGAAAAAUCAGCUGAUGACCCAAAGUGCAGACUGUGCAAGGAAACCGAUGAAACCAUAGAUCAUAUCUCAGCUGCUGUAAGAAAAUUGCACAAGACAGACUACAAACAGAGGCACAACUAUGUGGCCCAAAUGAUUCAUUGGAACCUAUGCCUCAAGUAUCACCUCCCUGCAGUUAAGAACUGGUGGGAUCACAAACCUGCAAAGGUUGUGGAAAAUGAACACGCAAAGAUAAUGUGGGACUUCCGAAUCCAGACUGACAAAGUUCUGGAACACAACACACCAGACAUCACAGUUGUGGAAAAGAACAAGGUUUGGAUCAUUGAUGUUGCCAUCCCAGGUGACAGUCGCAUUGAAGAAAAACAACAGGAAAAACUCAGCCGCUAUCAGGACCUCAAGAUUGAACUUCAAAGACUCUGGCAGAAACCAGUGCAGGUGGUCCCAGUGGUGAUGGGCACACUGGGUGCCGUGCCAAAAGAUCUCAGCCGGCAUUUGGAGACAAUAGACAUUGACAAAAUUACGAUCUGCCAACUGCAAAAGGCCACCCUACUGGGAUCUGCAUGCAUCAUCCGAAAAUACAUCACACAGUCCUAG